rnacentral:lncRNA from 1 species
UAAUUUUCUCAAAGCAUGUAACAUUUAUACAAAGUUAACAAGUCUCAAAAUGUCACAAGGACCAUAUAUAAGUAUAAUUCAAAGUAAUAAAUAGAUUUAUUGGCCACCAGAAGUUGGUUAACUAGUAAGGAUCAAGGCACUUUGCUUGACAAGCCUUAGGUUUGAUACGCAUCCAUCUUGGUAUGCUGUUUAUAAAGAACACCAUAAUCCCUUGGCAAGCCCUGGCCUAGGAAUUGUAGCUUCCCCUUUCCCUAAACUUUUCGCAAUAAAAAAAAAAAAA